rnacentral:lncRNA from 1 species
AGCCUAAAAACAAUAUUUUUUUCUUAAAAAAAUCUGCAUACUUGCAUUAAAAAAACGACUGCAAUUUUUACACCUUUCAAGGGACAUGUUUUAUGCUAGAACUAACAUUUUAGGUUGGAAUCGCUAGUAAAACAAAUCCUAGACAAGUAACGGUAAACAAAAUCAAACGAAUAUACCAACACCGAUCAAUUCAUACCAAAUAAAUAUUCAAAUAAAUACAAAGUUAGUAGAGUAAAUAACAAUCAUAAGAAAUGCGAAGAGAGCAAAGAUUAGAUGAGGCCGAGUUCUUUAGGAAGGGACCAAUCCCUAAUGGCGUAGACUUCGAAGGCGGACAAUCCUAUAGCGGUUGACCUGAUUAGUUGGGUCAAUACGAGUUUUGUUGCGAAACUCCCAACUCCCAUGUUCACAUGUAAAAUAAGAAAGAUAAGGAUUAGAGACCGAAUAAAUAUAAGAAUAUAAAUUAAAGGAAGUAAACACCGCACAAGCAUUGAAAAGCUUAAGUUAAUAUUAAGCAUGUGAACACAUAACCGUAGGGGUCACACUUUAGGCUUAUCGUAUAUAGUGAAAAGAAAAAACUACAUAUACCCAAUUAAGAUCAACGAACUGUGGAAAUAAGAUUGAACUUGACAACCACGCUUAAACUUUACAUUCUCAGGGAGGCUAAAGAGAAGCAAGGCUUCUAACAUGGCCUAAACUUUAAGACUUCCAUUCACAAUUCUUUGAAAGAUCCUUCAAGAACCCAAUCAGCCAACAUUCAAAGAAAAUAUUUUAGUUUAGUGGAGACUUAUGGGACACUAUAAGUAUCAUGAAAAACUCCCACUUUGUAUAGGUUGAAACUACCCCAAACAACCACCCCCGCAACAUUCCAUAUUUGAAAGCAAUUACAUUUUUAAAAAUCAACCAAACCCCAACAUGUUCUGUAGGCCAAAUUUAGGACAGAAUAUAUUUCCAAAAUUAAUAUGAAACAGUAAAACGGCCAAGCCAACGAAACAAAAUACUUAGCAUAUUUACCAAAUAGGAAAGUGCAGGUGGUAGACGGGCAGAUUUAACUUUUUCAGACAUUAAAAUGUGAAACAACCUUAAUAAUGAACCGAGUUCAUAAGCAACGACGUCAACUACGUCAUAACCAAACUCGACCCCGGAAUAUACUACGUUUUGAGCAACAUUUUCGGAACCAAAGCCGUAUUUGCCCAUAUCACAACAACAAAAUCGACUCCAACUCAAACUUUAUGAAAACUUACACACAGGAAUUCAUUUUUUACUAACUAAAAAACUCUAGAUUUUGACCGGAAUCACUUUUCAGAGUCAAAAUCCCCUUUUAAAUCCACAACAGUAACCAAAUGCUAGCAACAAACUCAAGCGAAACAAUAAUUACAUAUUCAUAAAUCUAUCGAAAUGACGAAAAAUGUCGAACGAAAAUAGAAAAUAUUCACACGUUUAUAGACCUGCGUUUUCGCAUUUCGGCCACAGGAUGAUUUCAAAAAAAUUAAUGCUACAUUUCAUCCCCAAGCCGACGAAAACAAUAACAAGCACGGACUCAAUGAAUUUAAACUAGACUACAUGCUUAUCAAACCCUAACGAGAUGAAGGAAAGGAGAGAUGGGAGUGAGACGAGAAAACGUGAUUCGCACCUUUUUUCGGGCGGCAAACUGAAACUUUUCGUCGAGUAUUCCGGUGACUUUGAAACUCAACCCGAACUUCAAAUUUUAAGCGAAUCGAAAGAAGAUCAAGAAAACUUGAGACCCCCGAUAUAAAGAAAAAAAACUGUUUUCUUCCCCCCUUUUUUUCCUUUUCUCACAGAUUUUUCUUCUUUUCCACUGAUCUUGCUACUCUUUUUUUUAUUUGUCUUGCUUCAAAAUUAAGCCUCUAAAAAAACCUCAAAAAAUUUGCGUUUGUUUCCGUUCUCUCCCUUUUUCGACCUUCUCUUUUACUGAUGUCUAUCCAAAUUUCCUUGUUUCCCCCAUAGCAACGAAUGACCCAUAUUUAUAGGCGAAUCCGGACUUGAAAGUCCAGAUUCGAAACUCGAUUUUAACCAAACGUGAUGAAAAAACUUGGUUUGAAAUUGAUUCGAAAUUCUGAACAAAUCUCUUGCUUUUUCAGCUCAUUAAUGGCGAUUUUGACUCCUUUUUCCGUUGUUAUACGAAUUAGGGGACUAUUUUUCUGAUUCUUUGGCGAUUUGCUGGCUUGGGGGAGAUUCUCGUGCAGCUGUAGGCGGCCGCAACAGCUAUGGUUUCUCGUUUGGGUUGGAAGGGAAACGAAGAAGAAGGAAAGAAGAAAAGGGUCUGGUUUUUGAGAAAGCAGAUGGUGACCCUACGCUGAUUUUUGGGGAUAUGAGGGAAGCACGCGUAUCUUUUAUUAAAAAGGAGAAGAAGCCAUGUAUUUGAUGCUCGACGUAAUAUC